GAAAGCAUCGCCAAGUGUAUUUUUGGCUCUUCACUCCAUUAUUUCGUGUCUUCCUAAUGUUUUCAUGGCUUCCAAAAGAAUUUUUGUUACCUGGGGACAAUUCAGUGUUUUGGAACCAGAAAUAAACUGUCUGAAAGAACUAUUUGUUCACAAAGUAAAGUGGCGAUAUGUGAUCAAUUUAACAGGACAGGAAUACCCUUUAAAAACGAAUUAUCAGCUUGUUCGAAUUCUGGAGGCUUUUAAAGGGGCGAAUGACAUACGAGGGUCAGCGAAAGAGUUAAACAGAGAACGUAUUGCAGGCCGACCCCGUGCUCCGCAUGGUAUCACCCCGUGUAAAGGGCCUGUGCAUUUUACAGCUUCCAGGGAAUUUAUUGACUACGUUUUGCAUAAUAAAACGGCUACAGAUUUUUUACGGUGGUGUAAACUGACAGGCAUACCUGACGAAACAUACUUCACAUCCUUAAAUAAUAACAAACAUCUUCAAAUACCCGGAUCGUACACAGGUACUAUUGAGAACAGAAGAAGGGACUAUUUUACACGGCAUAAAAUCUGGUUUAACAAGACUGAAUGUGGUAGUAAACGGUUUGUUCGUCAAAUUUGUAUCGAGGGUGUCGCCGAUUUACAUGUGUUGACAACAGGCAAUAAGCUUUUUGUUAAUAAAUUAAACUAUGAAUUCGAACCCCUCGCUUACGAUUGCUUAGAACAUUGGUACUUUAAUAAGGUUCAAUCAGAAAUGAGAGGUAGAUUAGAAUUUGAUACCACUGUAUACGAAAAAAGUACUGUUGUCAAAUAUAGAUAUAUACCUAAAAAAAUAACAACAAUCAAUGACGAGCUAUCCAAUCCACAAUGAAUGGUCAACAAUUCCCCGCGCAAUUCGCCAUUUGGGGUAUUUCAUAGGUAAUGAACAGAAUCGACAGAAAUACAUUGGCUCGUGGUAUCUGGA